rnacentral:rRNA from 1 species
AUUGAACGCUGGCGGCAUGCCUUACACAUGCAAGUCGAACGGUAACGCGGGGGCAACCCUGGCGACGAGUGGCGAACGGGUGAGUAAUACAGCGGAACGUACCUGGUAGUGGGGGAUAGCCCGGCGAAAGCCGGAUUAAUACCGCAUACGCACCACGGUGGAAAGCGGGGGACCGCAAGGCCUCGCGCUAUCAGAGCGGCCGAUGGCAGAUUAGCUAGUUGGUAGGGUAAAAGCCUACCAAGGCGACGAUCUGUAGCUGGUCUGAGAGGACGACCAGCCACACUGGGACUGAGACACGGCCCAGACUCCUACGGGAGGCAGCAGUGGGGAAUUUUGGACAAUGGGGGAAACCCUGAUCCAGCGAUGCCGCGUGUGUGAAGAAGGCCUUCGGGUUGUAAAGCACUUUUGUUCGGGAAGAAAUCUGUCGGGCUAAUACCCUGGCGGGAUGACGGUACCGGAAGAAUAAGCACCGGCUAACUACGUGCCAGCCGCCGCCGUAA